AAUGUUAAAUGAAAAUAUAAUUAUUUCUCUGAAAAUGCCGGCUGGUCCGUAUUCGAUAGCUUUAUCCAGAAUUAGGUGGCUUCUUUUAGGGUGAUCAUAUCCAAUCAUUGAGUAUAUUAUGAAAAUGUUUUUUUAGAGUAGACUUUUAUCCUUUUCGGAAUUUAAGCCCCAGUAAACGGCGGCCGUAACUAUGACGGUCCUAAGGUAGCGAAAUUCCUUGUCGGGUAAGUUCCGACCUACACGAAUGGUGUAA
rnacentral:ncRNA from 1 species